rnacentral:lncRNA from 1 species
UUCAAAACUAUUUUUCGAGCCUUUGGCUUGAGUCUUGCUCCACCUGCAUUAAAUACAACUUUGGCUUCGAGGCCAAAAUGAAUGAAUAAAUAAAUGACUAAAUGAAUAAAUAAAAAGAAGACAAUAAUAAAAAUUGAGACUUUUCAAGUCUUUUAGUGACCUCAUCAAUGGAUUUUGACCCAUUUUCCUUCUUUGUCUAUCUUCUAGCACCCGCACGCCAUGUAGUGGACCUUAGGUUUAAACUUCGAACUUGACUCAAAGGGGUGAGCCUCAUUUACCCUUUAUGAAAUGUAAGAGGAGAGGAGGUGGAUCGCAGGGCCUCCUCUGGAUCAUCACCAAUUUUAAAACUAUUAGUAAUUGCCCUUUCAUCUACCACAACGGGCGAUAGGUUAUGAGUGGAGUGGAGGUUCGAUUUUGCAAAUCCUCCCCAGGCGCAAUUUGCUUUAUCCCGCAUGACUCUGGGAGAUCUUUUGGUAUAUCAUUGCAUCCUUCAAACAAAUCUCCUAUCCCAUCCCCAAGACCAUCAUCAUAUGAUAUCUCUCGUACGGGAAAUGAUUGGAACAGGAGUGGCAAGGGCCUAAACAGACUCUUUUCUGGCUCAUCCUUAACCCUAUCUCUUCUAGUAGGCUGAUACCCUAACCCAUGCUUAGAGCUUCUCUCUAGAAUCACAAUAGGCUUGAUAAUUCUUUGUAAAUUCUUGCCCAAGCCUCGACUAGGUUCAAACCCAUUUCUUAACAUCACAGUUGCAAUCAUUUUGUAGACAGACGGCAUUGAUAUUUUGGGUGUCGAAUCUCUUUCCGUAGCGUUUACAAUUUCCACUGUAUAGAAACUGAUACAUUUUGGAACAUCUUCAAUCACCGGCAUAUAACCAUUGGGAUGGUCCGCUCGACUUCCUUCUCCUUGGAUGACUACUUCAUGAUCUUUCCAAAUGAACUUAAAUAAUUGAUGAAGGGGUGAUGAAAUUGCCUUCUCCUCGUGUAUCCAUGGUCUUCCCAAAAGCAGGUUGUAGCUAGGAUGGAUAUCUAUAACAUGAAACUCAGUCAUAAACUCAGCAGGCCCCAUUUGGAUAUGCAAAUCAAUCUCCCCUAUGGUAUCUCUAUGCCCUCCAUCAAAUGCUCUCACAUUUACGUGGCUUUAAGGAAUUUUCCCUAGAUCAUAGCCCAUUUGGAC